UCCGGCUUAUCACCGGCGGUUUCUUUAGAGUGCCCAACUAAAUGAUGGCAACUAAAGACGAGGGUUGCGCUCGUUGCGGGACUUAACCCAACAUGUCACCACACGAGCUGACGACAGCCAUGCAGCACCUGUCUUCCGGCAGUAUUGCUACUGAAGCCGUAUUUCUACGGAUGUCCGGAGAUGUCAAAUCCAGGUAAGGUUCUUCGCGUUGCUUCGAAUUAAACCACAUGAUCCACCGCUUGUGCGGGCCCCCGUCAAUUCCUUUGAGUUUUAGUCUUGCGACCGUACUUCCCAGGCGGGGUACUUAUUGCGUUAGCUCCGGUUCGGCGGGGGUCAAGACCCACCAAACCUAGUACCCAUCGUUUACGGCGUGGACUAC
rnacentral:misc_RNA from 1 species